GGCGCGGCCGGCGUCGUCUCGCCCGCGCGCAGCCCGGCUCCCCUCCCCCGCGGGGAAUUGGGGUCCGACCCGGGAGAGACUCGCGGGGCGCGGGCGGCGACAACUUUCCCGCGCGGGCCGGGAAGCAGAGAGGGGGCCGUGACCGCCUGGCCCGGGAGGCACGAACUGGAUCAGGCUGGAGGCGACAGCAGGUAGACUUGCGGGGCCCGAAGGCCUGACCCCGGCGUGGUGCAGCGCCGAGGCCACAGCCCCUGGUCUUGACGAGAGGCCUGCUGCUGUCUUGUGCUAGCCCCAGACUGACCUCUAGAUUUGCAGGCCACCGAACCCCUCAGCUGUGCGUGACCUUCCAGCUUGGCCUGGCCCCACUGGCCAUUUGAGUGUCUAGGAAGUGCCUUGGCUCCCUGUACCUGCCCCCUUCCCAGCCUGCAGCCGCUGCCCGCCUGUGACAGGGUGGCCCGAGAAGUCUGCUUUACAGAUGGGGAAACUGAGGCUUGGAAGGCCUUUGGGAAACCUGAGGAGCAGGGACUGAAACUUCACUGAGGUGCUACACGUCGAUCCCACCUGCUGCCCCCUCACCGUGCCUCGGACGGCUGGGGUUCCUGGGGAUGGGAUUUGGUGCCAGUCACAAAUCACAUUGCCAGGGAUUUCCAACUGACCCUGUGCUCUGCCUUGGGGGCUCCUGUUGCCAAGGAUGUCUAUCUUGGGUACUGGGUAACAGAAGCCCAUCAUGACAACUGGCCUGAGGAGCAGGGCUUAGCUGCUUGUGAGCAAGGUCCACAGCAAAGUCGUGUUCACAGUGGCUAAGUUCCGCCCCCUGGACCCCAUCUCCUCAGGCCGCCGCUGCCCACCCUGCUCUGCCUCUCCCUGGGCUCCGCCUCCUGUGCCUACUGAGCUGAAACAGUUGAUUCCAGUGCACUGGCUCAGUUCAGCAGGAACAGGAGUCCAGCCCCCUAGGAGUUGGCAACCCUGCAGAAUGCCAUGAGGGAGACCUGAAAACAAUGGGGUAAUUAGUCCCCACCCAGGCCCAGUUAUCUGCUGGAGGCUCUUCCUCUAAGCCUGCAUCUCGGUGUUCACCCCAGAUGGCCACACCUUGAGAUUUCUGUGGUUCCCAAAAACAACAGAUGGAUGAGUGGGUGGUCCUUGCAUUAAAAGCCAGUUGUGUCCCCUCAGGGCCUGGAGGCCCUUCUUCUCCUAAGUCUGGUGGGGCUCAGGCACCACCCCUUACACAUACCCUCUUUGAAGUCAGUUACCCAAGAGGAAGUUGUUUUAGGCCCCCUAACGGUUAAAUGCCAACUCCCAGCUUCCGCAACAAGGCACUGACCUGAUCCAGUGUGCCUAGCAUUCCCAUGGGGCCUGCAGCUUUCUGAUGGUGACAGCGAGGUAGGGAGCAAGGUCAAAGGAUAUGAGUGGAUCCAUGCCCCCCCAACCCCAUGUUGUGCCUGUUGGAGUAAUCUCCAGGCUUGGAAGUUUAAAAGUUGCCUGCUACCCACAAAGAAGACUGGAUGGAGACUAGUUGGUACAGGCUGUUACACUUCCCAGACCAUGCAGUGUCUUCUCCCCACCCUGGGCAGAGGCAAAUCAAAGCCUGGGUGGAGGAACAGAGGGUUGGAGCUUGUAUUGAAUGCUGUGCUUGUUUUCUAAUUAAAUAAAAGCUCCCCAGCUUCAUUCCUUAA